GUUCCCUCCGAGACGGAUCCCGAGUAGUGCGGGGCACGUGAAACCCCGUAUGAAUCCGGCAGGACCAUCUGCCAAGGCUAAAUACUUCCUAGCGACCGAUAGUGAAGCAGUACCGUGAGGGAAAGGUGAAAAGCACCCCGGAAGGGGAGUGAAAUAGAACCUGAAACCGUGUGCUUACAAAAAGUCAGAGCCCGUUUUAGGGGUGAUGGCGUGCCUUUUGUAGAAUGAACCGGCGAGUUACGUUCCCGUGCAAGGUUAAGGUGAAGAGCCGGAGCCGCAGCGAAAGCGAGUCUGAAUAGGGCGACAUAGUACGUGGACGUAGACCCGAAACCGGGUGAUCUACCCCUGUCCAGGGUGAAGGUGCGGUAACACGCACUGGAGGCCCGAACCCACGCAUGUUGAAAAAUGCGGGGAUGAGGUGGGGGUAGCGGAGAAAUUCCAAUCGAACUCGGAGAUAGCUGGUUCUCCCCGAAAUAGCUUUAGGGCUAGCCUCGGAAAACAGAGUCGUGGAGGUAGAGCACUGAUUGGGUGCGGGGCCCGCAAGGGUUACCAAGCUCAGUCAAACUCCGAAUGCCAUAGACUUACUUCCGGGAGUCAGACAGUGAGUGCUAAGAUCCAUUGUCAAAAGGGAAACAGCCCAGACCAUCAGCUAAGGUCCCCAAGUGUGUGUUAAGUGGGAAAGGAUGUGGAGUUGCACAGACAACCAGGAUGUUGGCUUAGAAGCAGCCACCAUUGAAAGAGUGCGUAAUAGCUCACUGGUCGAGUGACUCUGCGCCGAAAAUGUAACGGGGCUAAACACACCACCGAAGCUAUGGCUUGAUGCUUUGCAUCAGGGGUAGGGGAGCGUUGUAUAAGGGUUGAAGGUGUACCGUAAGGAGCGCUGGACAUUAUACAAGUGAGAAUGCCGGUAUGAGUAACGAAAAGAUCAGUGAGAAUCUGAUCCGCCGAAAGCCUAAGGGUUCCUGAGGAAGGCUCGUCCGCUCAGGGUAAGUCGGGACCUAAGGCGAGGCCGAAAGGCGUAGUCGAAGGACAACAGGUCGAAAUUCCUGUACCACCGUAAGCCGUUAUGAGCAAUGGGGGGACGCAGCAGGGUAGUGACGCGGACUGAUGGAUGUCCGUCUAAGCAGUGAGGCUGAUGUGUAGGCAAAUCCGCACAUCGUAAGGCUGGACUGUGAUGGGGAGCGAAAAUUAUAGUAGCGAAGGUCAUGAUCUCACACUGCCAAGAAAAGCCUCUAGCCAGGUGAUGGUGCCCGUACCGCAAACCGACACAGGUAGGCGAGAAGAGAAUUCUAAGGCGCGCGGAAGAACUCUCGUUAAGGAACUCGGCAAAAUGACCCCGUAACUUCGGGAGAAGGGGUGCCCCGGUAGUGUGAAUAGCACGAGGGGGCCGCAGUGAAAAGGCCCAAGCGACUGUUUAGCAAAAACACAGGUCUGUGCGAAGCCGUAAGGCGAAGUAUACGGGCUGACGCCUGCCCGGUGCUGGAAGGUUAAGGGGAGCGGUUAGGAGCAAUCCGAAGCUGUGAACCGAAGCCCCAGUAAACGGCGGCCGUAACUAUAACGGUCCUAAGGUAGCGAAAUUCCUUGUCAGGUAAAUUCUGACCCGCACGAAUGGCGUAACGACUUGGGCGCUGUCUCAACGAGAGAUCCGGUGAAAUUUUAAUACCUGUGAAGAUGCAGGUUACCCGCGACAAGACGGAAAGACCCCAUGGAGCUUUACUGCAGCUUGAUAUUGAAUUU
rnacentral:rRNA from 1 species